ACAGCUUAUCCAACCACCACCACAGCUUAUCCAACCACCACCACAGCUGCUCCAACCACCACCACAGCUGCUCCAACCACCACCACAGCUGCUGAAACCGCCACAGCUUAUCCAACCACCACCACAUCUUAUCCAACCACAACCACAACUCCUCCUACCACUACUACGACUGCCCAGUCUUACCGAUCAUCAAUUGAACCUUUAAGCAUUCUCCCGCUACAGUUUAUUGUUCUUGUGGACUCUCACAGUGCUCCUUCAUGCGUCGAUGGUGAUUAUUUUCCCAUUUUCGUGGCACCAACUCCGAUUAAUGGAGUAAAUCUUCCUGCAUAUGUCAACCACACCCUUGAAAUUAAAGUCAGUUCAAAGGCCCAGUAUGCAACGAUUAAUGACCUAAUUGUGACAGGCCCACCAGGCAUUUCUAAGGAGAGCUCUUCCACAGAUACAUACAUUAUAAAAUGGACACCAACUGAAGAUGAACUGAAUGGUCAUUUCCCUAUUUGCUUUGUGUCUGAAGCAAGAA